rnacentral:rRNA from 1 species
GUGGCGAACGGGUGAGUAACACGUGAGUAACCUGCCCUUAACUCUGGGAUAAGCCUGGGAAACUGGGUCUAAUACCGGAUAGGAGCGUCCACCGCAUGGUGGGUGUUGGAAAGAUUUAUCGGUUUUGGAUGGACUCGCGGCCUAUCAGCUUGUUGGUGAGGUAAUGGCUCACCAAGGCGACGACGGGUAGCCGGCCUGAGAGGGUGACCGGCCACACUGGGACUGAGACACGGCCCAGACUCCUACGGGAGGCAGCAGUGGGGAAUAUUGGACAAUGGGCGAAAGCCUGAUCCAGCAAUGCCGCGUGAGUGAUGAAGGCCUUAGGGUUGUAAAGCUCUUUUACCAGGGAUGAUAAUGACAGUACCUGGAGAAUAAGCUCCGGCUAACUCCGUGCCAGCAGCCGCGGUAAUACGGGAGGGGCAAGCGUUAUUCGAAAUGAUUGGGCGUAAAGAGUCCGUAGAUUGUAAAAUAAGUUAUUUGUUAAAUCAUAAGGAUUAACCUUGUAAAAACAUUUAAAACUGUUUUACUAGAGUUUUUUUCAGAAAAGUAGAAUUUCAUAUGAAAGGAUAAACCCUGUAGAUAUAUGAAGGAAUAUCAAAAGCGAAAGCAACUUUUUGGUAAAAACUGACGUUGAGGGACGAAAGUAUAGGUAGCAAACAGGAUUAGAUACCCUGGUAGUCCACGCCGUAAACGAUGAUAACUAGCUGUCCGGGCUCAUGGAGCUUGGGUGGCGCAGCUAACGCAUUAAGUUAUCCGCCUGGGGAGUACGGUCGCAAGAUUAAAACUCAAAGGAAUUGACGGGGGCCUACAACAAGUGGUGGAGCAUGUGGUUUAAUGCGAUAAUCCGCGCAAAACCUUACCAACCUUUGAAUAAAGAAUUUAAUUAUUUUUAAUAGUUUGAAAAAAUAAUUAGUUUUUAAAAAUCUUUACAGGUGUUGCACGUCUGCCGUCAGCUCGUGUCGUGAGAUGUUUGGUUAAUUCCUUUAACGAGCGUAACUCUUAUUUUUGUUAUAUUCAUAUCAAAAUUUUUUUUAAAUUUUUAUUACAAAAAUACUAGCAAUGAUAAAUUGAAGGAAGAAGAAUUAAGUCAAGUCACUGUGGCCUUUAUAGGUUGGGCUACACACGUGCUACAAUGAAAAAUACAAAAAGUUACUAAAAUUAAAUUGUUAAAGUUAAUCUUUAAAAUUUUUCUUAGUUCAGAUUAUAAGCUGAAACUCGCUUAUAUGAAGUUGGAAUCACUAGUAAUCGCAAAUCAGAAUGUUGCGGUGAAUAUGUAUCUUGGCCUUGUACACACCGCCCGUCACAUGCGAAAAGUUAAUUUUGCUUGAAAAUUUAGAUGAAUUAAAUUAAAUAUUAAUUUUAAUUUAAAUUUAUUGAAAAGUUAAUAAUUUGGAUGAAGUCGUAACAAGGUAGCUGUACGGGAACGUGUAGCUGGA